GACGAACCGUGCUAACGUUGUUCGGAAUCACUGGGCUUAAAGGGCGCGUAGGCGGGCACGCAAGUCAGGGGUGAAAGCCCACGGCUCAACCGUGGAAGGGCCUUUGAUACUGCGUGUCUGGAGGGAGGUAGGGGCGUGCGGAACUUCCGGUGGAGCGGUGAAAUGCGUAGAUAUCGGAAGGAACACCGGUGGCGAAAGCGGCGCGCUGGACCUCUUCUGACGCUGAGGCGCGAAAGCCAGGGGAGCAAACGGG
rnacentral:rRNA from 1 species